AGUACCCGGGCUGUGUUCUGAGGGGCGUUUCAGAGGCGGCAGGAGCUCGGCAGCGAUGCCGGGACACGCUUCCCGGGAGCUUCCCGGGAGCCGUGGGACCGUGGGAUCGGCUCCUGGCACACGUCGCGAGUCGCUGUGGCUUGUCCCUCCCUGCCGUGGCUCCGUGUCCCUCCUGUCUGGCGCUGUCGUGACGCUGCUGUGCCCGGUCCUGGGUAUCACCCUCUGUGUUUGCUCCUGAACGACCGACAGCGACGUGUGUUCCUCUGGUGCUUCUCAUUCCAAAGGAUCUCCGGAUGUUGUCCUGUGUCGGAGCCGUGGGCGGUCCCUGACGGGUGGGGGGGUCACGAGGGUGAUCUGUGACAUCCCCCAGACAGGACACAGCCUGACCUGUGCCCACUGAGCCUCGUUCCUGCCUCACCCACCCGGCCCUGAAACCAAACUAGUCCAAAAACCUCUAAACUGGAGUCCGAGAUUUGGGCACAAACCCUGAUAGAGCUUUGAACUGUGAAGUUACAGCAGGAGGUGACCCAGAAUCUCCAGUGUCACGCUGCCCUUUGAGAUGCAGCCCCACAACAGCACAGAGCCGCCUCGAGCAGUGUCACCGGUGUCACCCAGUGGGUGCCAGGGGCCCGGCGAGGUGCAGGGAGCUCCGGGUGAAGGGCAGCCCUUCCCUUGGAAAGGCUUUUCCCACUAAAGCUCCACGUGGUGCUGGCACAGCAGGUGACAUUCCAGGCUGUGGUGUGAGGGACAAAGUGUCCCCUUGUGUCCCAGGGGAGCGCGGGGUCGUUCCAGCCUCCAUCUCCCUGCGGUGCCCUCGGCAGUGCCAUCCUGGUGGCACCACCUCGGGGGUACCAAACUGGGGCUGCUGGAACUGGGUCUGGGGGUCUCACUCACCUGGCUGAUGCCUGUGCCCCUUGCUCAGGUGACAGCCAUUCGUGUCCCACCCGGGGUCCCUCUCCCUGCCCUGCUCAGGUCCUGUGCUGGAUGCAUUUGGGGACCCUCUGGAAUCAGGCCCCCCACAGCUCAGUGCCAGCUGUGCCCACCUCCAGUGGCGCUGGAAAACGUGGGGGCUCUCUGGUUUUAACAGCAGCUCCAGCAGUGCACCCCUGCCAGGGGAGCCCUUUGGGGGAAGGGGAGCCCUUCCCUUGGGAAGGCUCUUCCAAAAGGCUCUUCCAACCAAACCACCAUGGCCUCUGGUGGUCCCUCCCCGUGGUGCUGGCACCUCUGGGGGGCUGUUUUGGGACCCCCUGACCCCUCUCACUGUCUCUGGUGUCUGGCUGCGAGUCCCCUGUCUCCCAGUGACUCCAGGUGGGAACACAGCCCCCCAUCCCUGUCCCCAUCCCUUCCCUGGCCUCCCCACCUGUGUCUGUCUGACCUGCUGAUCCCCCCCCAGAGGGACCCCGAUUUCCAGGAGCAUCCCUUUGCCAUCCUCUGCUUCUCUUCAACCCCCUCUUGCCUCCACCGCUGCUUCCCUGCGAUCCCUGUGCUUCCCAUGGCACUGCCAACCCCCCAGGAGCAGCAGAGCCCCUGGAGCCCCCCACCCUCCUCGCUCCAAACCCCCUCCCACCACCAGUGUGUGGCCCUUCCAGCCAUCCCACAGAGUUAAACGUUCCCAUUCCUUUUCCCAAAGUCACGGCCUUUCAUCUCUGAAAUUUUCAUGCUCCCGGUUGGUGGCAAAGACUUGAAAUAUUUCCCAGGAAAUGGGCUGUAAAUAGAAUAUUUAAUGAUGUCAGUCCCUCUCCCGCAUUGUCCAAGUUCCUCUCUUUUAUGGAAUUGCUGUAAAUUCGGGAAAUCAUGGAAGGAGCAGUUAGGUAAGAGUGGGAUGACCCAGUUCAGGACACGGUUUCCAGGUCCUGGAACUGUCUGGACAAGGACAGGGUCACCUAAACCUCCCCCAAGAGCUGCCUGGAGCCAGAGGUGUCCUGGAAUCCCACAGGGAACAGGGACAAUGAGGUGUCCCACCUUGUGUCCCACAUGAUAUGGGGACAAUAGAGUGUCCUGUAGUCUGGGGAUGGGAACACCGAGGUGACCUGGAGUCCCACAGGGAUGGGGACAGUGAUGUGUCCUGGAAUCCCACAGGAAUGGGUCAGUGAGGUAUCCUGGAGUCCCACAGGAAUGGGAACAGUGAGGUAUCCUGGGGUCCCACAGGGAUGGGAACAGUGAGGUAUCCUGGGGUCCCACAGGGAUGGGGACACUGAGGUGUCCUGGGGUCCCACGGGGAUGGGGACACUGAGGUGUCCUGGAGUCCCACAGGGAUGGGGGCUGUGAAGUGUUCUGGAGUCCUGCAGGGGACAGGGAAUUUCUUCCUGCCCUUAUUCUGAAUUUACAGCAGUUCCAUCCAAGGGCAGGGAUUUCCCUGCACGUGGCAGCUCCAGGUCAGGCCCUGGAGCGUUCCCCUCUCAGAGCUCUGGGGGGUCCUGCCUGGACACCCCGAGAUGAGACGACGCGAUCCGUAACUCUCUCCGUAGCUCUAACUCUGGCUCUGUCUCCUUCCAAGACGGGCUUCCACGGAAGGACGUUUGACCAGAGGGACUGAGAAAGAGGCCAAGAAAGACUGAGAAUGGGAACGUGAGGUCAGAGUUCAGGAAUUGCUGGAGGCAGUGUUGAUUCCAUCCCCCCCGGGACCGGGACGAGGCACACCAGUGUGCCCAGGCUGAGAGGGGCUCGCCUGGCACAGCUCCUGCACGGUCCUCACCGGUGCUGACAGUGACAGCAGAGCAGAGGGACGACUUCCUUUGGGCCUGUCCUUGGGAAGGAGUGAUGGCCCCUGUGUGGGGACACACGGACUCGGCUCUGCUGGAGCUGCCCUGGCAGUGUGAGGCCAAUGGCACCUUCUUCCUGUUUAAAGUGGAAUCACAGGGCCAUUGAGGUUGGAAAAGCCCUCUGAGCCCAUCAAACCCCACCCAGCACUGCCAAGGCCACCACUGACCCCUGUCCCCAAGUGCCACAUCCACAGGGCUUUGAAAUCCCUCCAGGGAUGGGGACUCCACCCCUGCCCUGGGCAGCCCCUUCCAGUGCUUUACAAUCCUUUGGGGGAAGGAAUUUCCCAAGUAUCCAACCUGACCCUCCCCUGGCCCAGCCUGAGGCCUUUCCUCUUGUCCUGUCCCUUGUUUCCUGGGAGCAGAGCCCGACCCCCCCCCGGCUCCCCCCUCCUGUCAGGGACUUGUACAGCAGUACGGAUCCUGGAAGAUCCAGCCCGCUGAGCUGUGGGAGAGGGAUGAGGUGUCCCGGUGUCUGUGGCUGCUCUGGAGCCGAUCCUGGGCGGCAGGAGCUGAUCCCAAGCAGUGAUAGCCAAUCCCAGGCAAGGGGAACCAAUCCCAGGCAAUGGGAGCUGAUCCCAGGCAAUGGGAGCUGAUCCCGGCCAUGGGGAGCUGAUCCCAAGCAGCAGGAGCUGAUCCUGAGCAGCGGGAGCCAAUCCCAGGCAAUGGGAGUCAAUCCCAAGCCACGGGAGCUGAUCCCAGGCAGGGGAGCUGAUCCCAAGCCCUGGGAGCCGAUCCUGGGCAGGGGGAGCUGAUCCCAAGCCAUGGGAGCCGAUCCCGGGCAGGGGGAGCAGAUCCCAGGCAAUGGGAGCCAAUCCCAAGCCCUGGGAGCCGAUGCCAAGCCCCGGGAGCCGCGCGAGGUGCCCGCGGUGCAGCGGGUCCGUUGUGUGACAUCCGUGUCCCCAAUAAAGCUGACGCUGACGACUGA